UGGCGGACGGGUGAGUAACGCGUGGGUAACCUGCCUCAUACAGGGGGAUAACAGUUAGAGAUGACUGCUAAUACCGCAUAAGACCACAGCACCGCAUGGUGCAGGGGUAAAAACUCCGGUGGUAUGAGAUGGACCCGCGUCUGAUUAGGUAGUUGGUGGGGUAACGGCCUACCAAGCCGACGAUCAGUAGCCGACCUGAGAGGGUGACCGGCCACAUUGGGACUGAGACACGGUCCAA
rnacentral:rRNA from 1 species